rnacentral:tRNA from 1 species
GCCCGGGUGGCGGAAUUGGUAGACGCAGCGGACUUAAAAUCCGCCGGCCAUUGCGGCCGUGCCGGUUCAAGUCCGGCCCCGGGCACCA